rnacentral:rRNA from 1 species
CUACCUACGGGGCGCAGCAGUGAGGAAUAUUGGUCAAUGGGCGCAAGCCUGAACCAGCCAAGUCGCGUGAGGGAUGACGGUCCUAUGGAUUGUAAACCUCUUUUGUCAGGGAGCAAGGCCCGCCACGUGUGGCGGGAAGGAGAGUACCCGAAGAAAAAGCAUCGGCUAACUCCGUGCCAGCAGCCGCGGUAAUACGGAGGAUGCGAGCGUUAUCCGGAUUUAUUGGGUUUAAAGGGUGGGUAGGCGGAAGGUUAAGUCAGCGGUCAAAUGUGGGUGCUAAAGACCGGGAUGCAGUUGAAAAUGGU